UACGUAGGUGGCGAGCGUUAUCCGGAAUUACUGGGCGUAAAGGGCGCGUAGGCGGGAAGACAAGUCAGGAGUGAAAUCCCAGGGCUCAACUCUGGAGCUGCUUCUGAAACUGUUUUUCUUGAGUGUCGGAGAGGUAAGUGGAAUUCCCAGUGUAGCGGUGAAAUGCGUAGAGAUUGGGAGGAACACCAGUGGCGAAGGCGACUUACUGGACGAUAACUGACGCUGAGGCGCGAAAGCGUGGGGAGCAAACAGG
rnacentral:rRNA from 1 species